AUCAGUGAUAUCUCAUUGUUUCGCAAAUUCGGCUCUCGGUUCGCGUUUCCGCAGUUUUUGCAAUUUGAGCGUUGCGACGGCGGUUCGUUUCAUCGACCCCCCUUGUUUCAUUUCGCGACGAGCUUGCGAACGUUGCGAGUGACGCGGAUCUUAUCCUUUCAAAGCGCUUGAUUUUUUUUUCUUUUUUUUCGAAAUUUUUGACAAGUCGAACGAUUUUUUUUUUCCUAGAACUAAAACGCGCACGUUUCUGGUGCGACGUGUUGUCUGCAAAAUUCUCGGCGUUGAAAGACGAUUGCUAAAACGCGCCAUUUACCGAAUGUUAAAACAUGCUUUAUUCGAGCCAAGAGUGCACAAAACACGAGCGGUCCCUAAAGCUACAUACGGGGACUAUUAGAGAAGUACGAUGGUGUGCGCGGCGCGGUUCGCUUUAGCGUGAAACUGACCUCUCUACAUACAUAGUAGAGACUGGCGCGGUAAACUGCACUUUAAUACGGGUAGGACGGCUUAAACGAUAUUGAAGCGAAAUCCUGUAAGCUCUUGAAACAUUUAACGUCAUUAUGAAACAUCUGUAGAGCAGCGCUCGCGCGCGGGGAGGCUGCAGUUAAUAUCACUUAACCGAUAAUUUGUAAGCCACUUCAGCGUUAUCAUAAAAUUUGCCGGACGAUCUCGUCUAAUAGGUUUGUUGAUUUUCUCCGCUAAUUUAACUGCCUUUCUCAAACAGCACACAAGAUUCGAAUCGUAUCCCGUGCGCGUGUUGUUUCGCGUCAAUGUUAAUUUAACCUUUGCACGUGCGAGGAAUAUGUUUGCCUGCAAACUUUCGUCUGACAGAUCUGAUAUAUAUUCGCGCGACCGUAGUCUGAAUGUUUUUACUAAAGAUUCUUCGAACAGACGGUGCAUUGUGAAGUGAUAGAAGUUUCCCUUUUCCUUGUGCUGCGCGUCUUUUUCUUAAUCGGUGCUUGACAAAAGAGAGUUUUUCUAUUUCCGGACUAUUGUUUUCUUCGCUGACGUUAAUGAGAGCGAUACAACUGUCUGAUUCGAAACACGCACGGGGAUGGUAGAAUCUACUCGUUGAUGGCUCCGGAUCUUCCUCCGAGAAACCGGGAUCGAAAUAAAGUACGGGAAGGUAUCGAGGUGGCAUGGCAGAACGAACGAGAAUGCGACGUAUCCGUCGUAUCGGGCCUAUUUAUGGCGCUACUUGUCACCGCAGUGGAUUUCGUCGCUGGGAAAUUUCGCCGGCUAUGGUUCAGUGCGGAACGAGAAGUCGCUGGGAGAAUAAGAGAUAACAUAUAUUCGUUUACACAUUCGGCAUGAAAUCUUAGAGAGAAGAAAACGCAAAAAAAAAUUGAUAUCCUGCAACCAACGACUAUCGCGUCAUCUUCGUCGUGAAUUUACACACCUAUUCUAUACAGACUCUUGUUGUCACCCUGACAACGUGUGUCCAAGAGGAGCCGCUUGAAAAAUGUCCUUUUUCUCGGAGGAGGUAGAAUCACAGUGUCGGAUCAGAUCUACGCGCAGAGGAGAAGAAGGAGGACGAGCAGAAAAAGAGAACAACGGAGGAGGCGGAGGAACGCGGUUUCGCAGUCACAUUGGCAGCGACACUAGCAACCCAGAAGCCACCCUACAGAUACCGCCGAGCUGUUGGACAAGCUGUAGCCUUCACAACCGAAUUAGAAUGAAUCGACCCUCGCCUGCCCUUGUCCUCCUCUUCAGCAUCUUCCUUCUCCAUUCCGCCUCCUUGCUUAUACUCUCUUCUCUUUUUCGAGCUUGUACUCCCUUCUUCCUUCUCCCUUUCCUGAUGUCUCGCUCUUCUCAGUCUCUCCUGUUUUCUCUCUUCCCUCUUUCGCUCACAGAUUCAUUCAACUACCCUCCUUCCACGAGAUGUUCUUCUUGCGCAAAGGAUGCCUCUCGAUUCUUCCUUCUUCCUAGUUGCU